AGUCAGUCCCCAGGUCAGAAGCUGGGAGGAUCUGAAGAAAGAAUACCACUGAUUGCAAACCCAGAUGCCAGGCUGGAUCCAUGUCCUCAGGAAUCCAUGAUUUCUGUUUCUGUCUACAAGGAUGAGAGGGAAAGGCAGCCAGCAGGACCCCCAGUAUGUAAGAGAAAAGACUCAGCUGUAUUCUAUCCACACAAGAGACUCUCAGAGGAAUGCUCAACCCUAGAAACUGGAAGAGAAAACUGAGUUCUUCUUUGUAUUCCCAAGAAGUUUCCUCACAGCAAGAAUAAAUCCAGGAGCCAAACUACACUACUAU